GAAAAACACAUCUCUUGUCUUCUGUUCUUCCAACCAUAGCUUUCUUCCCCCGUUUCUAUCAAUUUUUCUUACUUAAACUAUCGGUAGAAAUUAAGGGGAAAAUUUCGGGAUUUUGGAUUCGAAUUCAAGUUCAACCAACUCUCUGUUCCAAGUGAAUUUGUCUUCUACAGAGAGUAUGAAGAGAAGUUGGAGCAGUAAUCCGGGAAGAGCUUACGGAAACAUAAGCGUUAUGAAAGUUAGUUUUCUAUUACGUAUUGAUGUGUAUAUCACAGAUGUCGCGGUGUGGGAAAUAUGUGGCCUCAAGCUCCGUGUGAAAGAAAAUGGUUCUCAGCAAGUGAACGGAAUGCCUUAAAAACGACCUAGAGCAUCUGGUAGGUUCUGUUAACUAUUUUCGUCGCCGUUAGAGACCGCAAGCAGUUGAGUACUGCUGUAGACAUGAAGAAAUUACAGAAAGUUGUAGGAAACGACUGAGUUUUUAGUAGGAAGGAAGAUUCUCGAGAACCAGAGAAGUGGUUCAUAGAUAUAAAGGAGUUUGGUAUUACGAAAGUACCGGCGGAGAAAAGGUUUAGGCUUGCAUUGUGGUAGGGGGUUUCUCUUCACUGUCACAAUUGCGUUUUCGUUUUGGUAAACUGCAAUCUAUGGUCUCUUUAAAGACAAUGAAGUACUAGUUGCAUAUUUACAUGGUUCUCCUACUUGAUUUAAAAUUGAUUCAUCAAAUCUCUAAAACAGCCCUAGUUUCCUUCCAUGUGGUUCUGUGUUGAGAACUUGGUGUUUUAUGUGACCUAUAUCUUCUAAUCUAGUUUGAAUGGUGACUUUAAUUUGCAA